rnacentral:lncRNA from 1 species
UUAGCUCACAUGUGACUCCUUGCAACUUGCAUUGUUUCCUCACACAUGUGACUCCUCUUUUGGCGCCUAAACACAUUUGAAUCUAGGGACUUCUUCACUUCUUCAUUGUCCCUAGAUUUGCACAUUCUUUAUCAACUUAUUGUUGACCCUAGAUUUGCACAUCUUUAUCUUCAAGAUUGACCCGAACUUUGCACAUUCUUCUUUGGUGAUUAAACCCCCGGCUUUGCAAAUCUUGGUGAUGACCCGAACUUUGCACAAGCUUCGGUCUUGAUAACUUUGACCCGAACUUUGCACAUCUUGAUAACUUCAUGAAUGACCCAAACUUUGCACAUCUUGAUAACU